CUCAGCGAUGCGGAGAUCACCUCCUACAUCCUCGCCGGCCUCGACAUCGACUACAACCCCGUGGUAUCGGCGCUUGCUGCACGGAUCGAGUCAGUCACAGUUCAAGAGUUGUAUAGCCAUUUCUAAGCUUCGAUG
rnacentral:snoRNA from 2 species